rnacentral:rRNA from 1 species
GACAGAGGGGGCAAGCGUUGUUCGGAAUUACUGGGCGUAAAGGGCGCGUAGGCGGUCCGAUAAGUCCUGUGUGAAAUCCCUCGGCUCAACUGAGGAACUGCACGGGAGACUGCCGGGCUUGAGUUCGGGAGAGGGAAGCGGAAUUCCGGGUGUAGCGGUGAAAUGCGUAGAUAUCCGGAGGAACACCGGUGGCGAAGGCGGCUUCCUGGACCGACACUGACGCUGAGGCGCGAAAGCUAGGGGAGCAAACGGG